rnacentral:rRNA from 1 species
UGGGGAAUUUUGGACAAUGGGGGCAACCCUGAUCCAGCCAUCCCGCGUGUGCGAUGAAGGCCUUCGGGUUGUAAAGCACUUUUGGCAGGGAAGAAACAGCCUGGGAUAAUACCCCGGGCGACUGACGGUACCUGCAGAAUAAGCACCGGCUAACUACGUGCCAGCAGCCGCGGUAAUCGUAGGGUGCAAGCGUUAAUCGGAAUUACUGGGCGUAAAGCGUGCGCAGGCGGUUCGGAAAGAAAGGUGUGAAAUCCCAGGGCUUAACCUUGGAACUGCACUUUUAACUACCGAGCUAGAGUACGUCAGAGGGGGGUAGAAUUCCACGUGUAGCAGUGAAAUGCGUAGAGAUGUGGAGGAAUACCGAUGGCGAAGGCAGCCCCCUGGGAUGAUACUGACGCUCAUGCACGAAAGCGUGGGGAGCAAACAGGAUUAGAUACCCUGGUAGUCCACGCCCUAAACGAUGUCAACUAGCUGUUGGGGUUUAUUAACCUUAGUAGCGCAGCUAACGCGUGAAGUUGACCGCCUGGGGGAGUACGGUCGCAAGAUU